GAGGAGGAGGAGGAGGAGGAGGAGGAACAUCAGUCUUCCGUUGUGUCGCUUCCUCGUGCACAUUUAUUGCUCCCUAUGGCGGUUCAGAGACACUCGAGACGCAGAGCUUAUGCCGAAAUUUAUGCCUUGCCUCCGAUAUUUAAGUGUUCCAAUGUGGCAGUUCUUUUUCCGCGGGGCCCAAAAGGAUAGGCGAUGCGACGACCCUGGAUUUUGGUUACUAUUACUUCUCCUCCUUUUUCUUCCUCCUUCCUCUGGCCUUGUAAGAUGAGGAUGAGAAAAGAAUAUGGGCUUAGAAUUUACGUUUUUGUUGGUGCUGUUGGAGUUGUUGCUGUUGGGUAUGUGCAUUUUAGGUGAUUUGUGAGUAUGAUUUAUCUUUGCCGCGGUGGUUAGAAGAUUAGGUUAGGUUAAGUUAGGUUAGGUUAGGUUGGGUUAGGUUAGGUUAGGUUAGGUUAGGUUAGGUUAGGUUAGGCAAGGAAGAUAAGAAGGAUUAGGAUAUAAAGAUGAGGUACUUGUUUCUGUUUUGUUAGUAUAAGUAUAUCAGGUGUGUUCCGAGUACUCCUUUUCACGAGUCUCGUAAAAUAAUAGCCAAGAAAUAUAGAAUAGGAUAGAAAGAUUAGGAGAGAAGGUGUGAGCUCUGUAGUUAGUGUGUGUUUUGUUAGUAUAUGUAUAUCAGCUGUGUUUCGAGUACUCCUUUUCAUGUGUCUCGUAAAAUAGAAUAGCCAAGAAAGACGAAGAAUAGGAUAGAAAGAUUAGGAGAGAAGGUAUGAGCUCUGUAGUUAGUGUGUGUUUUGUUAGUAUAUGUAAAUCAGCUGUGUU